rnacentral:rRNA from 1 species
UGUUCAGGAUAACUUCAGGGAUGGCAUGGCCUUGCGCCGGCGGCGGUUCGUUCAAUUUCUGCCCUAUCAACUUUCGAUGGUAAGGUAUUGGCUUACCAUGGUUUCAACGGGUAACGGGGAAUUAGGGUUCGAUUCCGGAGAGGGAGCCUGAGAAACGGCUACCACAUCCAAGGAAGGCAGCAGGCGCGCAAAUUACCCAAUCCCGACACGGGGAGGUAGUGACAAUAAAUACUGAUACAGGGCUCUUUUGGGUCUUGUAAUUGGAAUGAGUACAAUUUAAACCUCUUAACGAGGAACAAUUGGAGGGCAAGUCUGGUGCCAGCAGCCGCGGUAAUUCCAGCUCCAAUAGCGUAUAUUAAAGUUGUUGCAGUUAAAAAGCUCGUAGUUGAAACUUGGGCCUGGCUGGCAGGUCCGCCUCACCGCGUGUACUUGUCCGGCCGGGCCUUUCCUUCUGGAGAACCUCAUGCCCUUCACUGGGUGUGUUGGGGAACCAGGACUUUUAC